rnacentral:rRNA from 1 species
AACCGCGGUCAUACGAUUAACCCAAGUUAAUAGUCCCCGGCGUAAAGCGUGUUUAAGGUACCACUACAAAUAAAGUUAAAUUUUUACUGCGCCGUAAAAAGUCCCAGCAAAAAACAAAAAUACCCCACGAAAGUGACUUUAACACACCCGAAUACACGAUAGCCAGGACC